rnacentral:rRNA from 1 species
UGGGGAAUAUUGGACAAUGGGCGCAAGCCUGAUCCAGCCAUGCCGCGUGAGUGAUGAAGGCCCUAGGGUUGUAAAGCUCUUUCACCGGUGAAGAUAAUGACGGUAACCGGAGAAGAAGCCCCGGCUAACUUCGUGCCAGCAGCCGCGGUAAUACGAAGGGGGCUAGCGUUGUUCGGAUUUACUGGGCGUAAAGCGCACGUAGGCGGACUUUUAAGUCAGGGGUGAAAUCCCGGGGCUCAACCCCGGAACUGCCUUUGAUACUGGAAGUCUUGAGUAUGGUAGAGGGGAGUGGAAUUCCGAGUGGAGAGGUGAAAUUCGUAGAUAUUCGGAGGAAAACCAGUGGGGAAGGCGGCUCACUGGACCAUUACUGACGCUGGGGUGCGAAAGCGGGGGGAGCAAACAGG